rnacentral:ncRNA from 1 species
GGAAUCGCUGGGUCGCCUGCGAUUCU